UACGGGGGGGGCAAGCGUUGUUCGGAAUUACUGGGCGUAAAGGGCGCGUAGGCGGCCUGGCAAGUCGGUGGUGAAAGCUCGGGGCUCAACCCCGAGUCGGCCGUGCGAACUGUUUUGCUUGAGCACUGUAGAGGCAGGCGGAAUUCCGGGUGUAGCGGUGGAAUGCGUAGAGAUCCGGAAGAACACCGGUGGCGAAGGCGGCCUGCUGGGCAGUAGCUGACACUGAGGCGCGACAGCGUGGGGAGCAAACAGG
rnacentral:rRNA from 1 species